rnacentral:sRNA from 1 species
UUUUUUUUGAUAAACCCUAUCGGCUAAUCCGGUCAACCCCGGUAGAAACGCACCGAAGUACUUCAGAGUGGACUUUUUCCCGAAGGACCACCACACUGUCUGUCCCGAGUUUGGAUGCUUUCCGACUAAUGCCAGGGGGUAGUCAGGCCGCCUGCAUUUCUGACUACCAGGUAAAUCAAUUGGGCCAAAGCCCAACUGACAGACUUCCCAAACAAAUGUGAUUUUUGUUUCCAGGAGCAUCGAACCCAGGUCUGAAAGUUUCACCCUUCCCCAAAUCUUCUCCUACCACUGGACCACAGAUGCUUGGACAGCAAAACUAUACUUGAUAUUCUAAAUUUAUCAAUUUGCUCUUGUGAACCUCAUAUUAGCCUAGAGAAACUUUGAAAUUCUUUCAAGAAGUUCUAUGUAGAAUACAGUUUUAGUAACAUUUAUUAGCCAUUUCGAUUAAGAUUAUUGUUAGCAAAAAGUUUUUUUUUUUAUAUAUAUAAGAAAAACUAUGUUUUAGAUACAAUGUGAGUUAGGCUUCUUAAAUU